rnacentral:tRNA from 1 species
GCAGUAGUGGUUCAGUGGUAGAUUUCUUGCCUUCUAUGCUGGAGACCUGGGUCCAACUCCCAGCCAAUGCG